AUGGCCACGUGCCGGCCAUCCGGCGGCUCCCAGCGACCUACAAGGACGCCCGCGCCCUCCCUCAACCCUAGACGCCUCCAGAUCCCCCUGGCCUCCUCAUCCACUCCAACCCUUCUCCCUCUCCCUCGAUUUGGAGGAGAGGCCGCCGAGGCCGCUGCCGUGCCUCACUCGUCCCCACGACCACAGAGCCCCGUUCGCCUCACCAACGUGUUCGUCGUCUCCGCCAUCGUCUUCCUCGUCGUCCAGUGGCCUCAGCUGGAGCUGGGACGCACCGAAGCACCAGAUCCCCUUUGUCCUCAUCUCCGAUCGCCGCCGCUCUUCUCCGGCUCUGGCGAGGCCCUCUGCUUCCAUUAA
rnacentral:rRNA from 1 species